AUCAUAGGUGGCUCUUCAGGAACCAUAGAUGUUAGGUGGGUAUCGUAGGUGGCACUUUGGGUACCACAGGUGUUAGGUUGGGUAUCAUAGGUGGCAAUUUGGGUACCAUAGGUGUUAGGUUGGGUAUCAGAGGUGGCACUUAGGGAACCAUAGGUGUUAGGUUCAGUAUCAUAGGUGGCAUUUGGGGUACCUUAGGUGUUAGGUUGGGUAUCAUAUGUGGCACUCUGGGAAGCAUAGGUGUUAGGUUGGGUAUCAUAGGUGGCAUUUAGGAAACCAUAGGUGUUAGGUUGGGUAUCAUAUGUGGCACUUUGCAUACUACAGGUGUUAGGAUGGGUAUCAUAGGUGGCAGUUGGGGACCAUAGGUGUUAGGUUGGGUAUCAUAGGUGGCACUUUGGGUACCAUAGGUGUUAGGCUAGGUAUCAUAAGUGGUACUUUGCAUACUAUAGGUGUUACGUUGGGUAUCAUAGAUGGCACUUAGGGAACCACAGGUGUUAGGUGGGUAUCAUGGGUGGCACUUUGCAUACUAUAGGUGUUAGGCUGGGUAUCAUAGGUGGUACUUAGGGAACAAUAGGUUUUAGUUUGGGUAU